rnacentral:rRNA from 1 species
CUAUGCGCCUUGCCACGCCCGCUCAGAAACUCAAAGGAAUUGACGGGGACCCGCACAAGCGGUGGAUGAUGUGGUUUAAUUCGAUGCAACGCGAAAAACCUUACCCACCUUUGACAUGUACGGAACCCUCCAGAGACGGAGGGGUGCCCGAAAGGGAGCCGUAACACAGGUGCUGCAUGGCUGUCGUCAGCUCGUGUCGUGAGAUGUUGGGUUAAGUCCCGCAACGAGCGCAACCCUUGUCAUUAGUUGCUACAUUUAGUUGGGCACUCUAAUGAGACUGCCGGUGACAAACCGGAGGAAGGUGGGGAUGACGUCAAGUCCUCAUGGCCCUUAUAGGUGGGGCUACACACGUCAUACAAUGGCCGGUACAAAGGGCUGCCAACCCGCGAGGGGGAGCUAAUCCCAUAAAACCGGUCGUAGUCCGGAUCGUAGUCUGCAACUCGACUACGUGAAGUCGGAAUCGCUAGUAAUCGUGGAUCAGAAUGUCACGGUGAAUACGUUCCCGGGUCUU